rnacentral:rRNA from 1 species
UACGUAGGGGGCAAGCGUUGUCCGGAUUUAUUGGGCGUAAAGAGCGUGUAGGCGGCCAUACAGGUCCGUUGUGAAAACUCGAGGCUUAACCUCGAGACGUCGAUGGAAACCGUAUAGCUAGAGUCCGGAAGAGGAGAGUGGAAUUCCUGGUGUAGCGGUGAAAUGCGCAGAUAUCAGGAAGAACACCCGUGGCGAAGGCGGCUCUCUGGGACGGUACUGACGCUGAGACGCGAAAGCGUGGGGAGCGAACAGG